ACGAACCGACCUAAGAUCAUCGUGAUCUAGUGGCUUUCGCGGAGAACCUCGCUGCCGCUCUUGCCGACGAGGAAA
rnacentral:sRNA from 1 species